UCCUGCAUCCGAAAGUGAUCGCGAGCCGCCUGUGCCCUGGUCAUUGGUAGUGCAGGGAGAGAAUUGCUGAAAGGCAUCUCCCCGUGUUUGGAGGGCCCAGCUGUCCCUCCCAAACCCUGGAGCUUUCACACA